rnacentral:rRNA from 1 species
CAAAAACAUUUUUUAAUGAUUUUAUAUUAAAUAAAGCCUGCUCCAUGAUCAAUAAAUAGCCGCAGAAAAUUUACUGUGCUAAGGUAGCAUAAUCACUUGUCUUUUAAUUAAAGACUAGAAUGAAAGGCAUUACAUUUAAUCAAAUCUUCUUAACUGCUCUCCUUUAACUUUCAAUAAAAAUUAAAAUAUUUUUAUACAUAUAAUAGACGACAAGACCCUAUCGAACUUAACUGCAGUUAAGCUGGGGAAGCUCAAUAAUAAUAAUCUUAAUAUACCCACUUCAAUAAACAGCCUUAAAAAAGAAAGUAAUCAAGUUACCGAAGGGAUAACAGCGUUAUAAAUUUUUAAAGCUCUUAUUUAUAAAUCCUUAUACGACCUCGAUGUUGAAUUAAUUUUACUACUCCAUGCAAGAAUAGAAAUAGUAAGUCUGUUCGACUUUUAAAAAAUUACAUGAUCUGAGUUCAAACCGG